rnacentral:rRNA from 1 species
UACGGAGGAUGCAAGCGUUAUCCGGAAUGAUUGGGCGUAAAGGGUCCGCAGGUGGCAAUGUAAGUCUGCUGUCAAAGAAUGAGGCUCAACCUCAUCAAGGCAGUGGAAACUACGUAGCUAGAGUACGGUCGGGGUAGAAGGAAUUCCUGGUGUAGCGGUGAAAUGCGUAGAGAUCAGGAAGAACACCGGUGGCGAAAGCGUUCUGCUAGGCCUGUACUGACACUGAGGGACGAAAGCGUGGGGAGCGAACAGG